rnacentral:rRNA from 1 species
UACGAAGGGGGCGAGCGUUGUUCGGAUUUACUGGGCGUAAAGGGCGCGUAGGCGGCGGGCCAAGUCGAGUGUGAAAGCCCCGGGCUCAACCUGGGAGGUGCGCUCGAGACUGGUUUGCUGGAGUUCGGGAGAGGAGCGUGGAAUUCCCAGUGUAGAGGUGAAAUUCGUAGAUAUUGGGAAGAACACCGGUGGCGAAGGCGGCGCUCUGGACCGAGACUGACGCUGAGGCGCGAAGGUGUGGGGAGCAAACGGG